rnacentral:snRNA from 1 species
GUGCUUGCUUCAGCAGCAUGUACACUAAAAUUGGAACAUACAGAGAAGAUUAGCAUGACCCCUGCGCAAGGAUGACAUGCAAAUUUGUGAAGUGUUAAAAAUUAUU